GUUUCACUUGCGCUGCUGGAAAGUCUUGGCCGGAGGAUAAUUUGCAUAGCUAAUAUAGUGGUCAUAUGGAAGGGUAGACAGCUGAAUGUGGAGGUUGAUGCUGACUCUAAUGUUAAAAGAUUUUGGUCUGAUGCUACAGAAGCUGACUAACAGAAAAGCUGAUACUCUGCGUCUUCUUGUUCCACAAUUGAAGACUUCAAAAAUGAUUAUUCCUUUCUCUGACAGCCAUUCAAAUUCAACCUUGCAAGGGAUUUCCUAUUCUGGAGGGUAAACCCAUAAGAAUGAUGGGUAUGUUUGACAAUGAAAUUAAGGUAUCAGAAAAUAGUUCAAAGCCUGAUUAAAGAAUAGCUGGUUUUG